rnacentral:rRNA from 1 species
UACCAGCACCCCGAGUGGUCGGGACGAUUAUUGGGCCUAAAGCAUCCGUAGCCGGUUCUGCAAGUCCCCGUUAAAUCCAGCUGCUCAACAGAUGGGCCGCGGAGGAUACUCCAGAGCUAGGAGGCAGGAGAGGCAAGGCGGUACUCAGUGGGUGAGGGGUAAAAUCCGUUGAUCCAUUGAAGACCACCAGUGGCGAAGGCGGCUUGCCAGAAUGCGCUCGACGGUGAGGGAUGAAGCUGGGGGAGCAACCGG